GAAACCUCUCAACCGCUCCAGAUUCGCUUCUGGAUGUGGCUUGGAAAUGGGGGAGUGCAGGCUUUCGUCUGCUCCCCUGAAACGUAUUAGCUGGCGUCUGGGCAAGACUGCCACAGGUGUGAUAACUAUCAGUGCCUUGGUGUCGUGCUGCUGCUGCUUCCAACCGUGUGCAGAAUGACCA
rnacentral:misc_RNA from 1 species